rnacentral:lncRNA from 1 species
UAAAAUUGAAAAUAAACCGAUAUUAUAGUGUAAAAUUUCUAAGGUCAACCGACUGGAAUUUUGAAUCCAAGUUAGGAGUUUAUAUAUGCCGACCGGAGCACGGAUCACAACCUACCAGUCCCGGCCACACUCAAUGUGCUUGGGUGCGGUCACACAAUCUUGACAGCCUAUAAUCCAUCUAAUGGUGGGUUAAUUUUUUUUUGAAUGGCUCAUAGGGGAAUCUUGAUUUGGAUGCGUUGGUCCGAAUCUUAUUUUUCCUGGCCUAUCAAAAAAUAAUAAUGCUGCCACCUCAUAGGCCAUAGCAUGUGGGGAGAUAGCGCCGGCUACCUGUGUUAUGGGGUUUAUAACCUGCUAUAGCGCACUCAACUUAAACCAUGGUUGAUGCAAUCUCAAUUUGCUUCUUCAUGGUUCCCAAGGAGUUUUACCCAAUACUUUGUUUCAAAUUUCAGCAAUUUUAAUUUAUACGGGUGAACUUCAAAAUUUCAGUACCUGAAAUAUAUGAAGCUCAGUAUCUCUUCGCUAUUUCGUUGUGCUCUGCCAUAGCUAACCAUGAAUUGUACAUUCUGACAGGCUUUUUACAUAUACUCCUUGGUUGAAUAGCUACCGAUUGUGCGAGGUGGUUACUGUAUCCGUGUAAGAGAUUGGUAAAUAUAGAAGGCCAAGUCAAAUUCCAGUGAUCAUUGGCCAAAGCCCGGCCAAUUCUACUAGCCCUGUAGUUCUGCCCAAUCCCACCAUUGCACCAAGUAUAAUAGUCCCCAACAUAGUCCAGCUCAGUCAGACCUGCUUGUGUGAUUGCACUGACAAAGUAUGAAAGCAUUGACCUGUUUCCUUGAAAUCAUUGAUCUGUUGCUAGGAGGAUUUCGUUGAAGUCACCGAGCACAAUCCAAUUUUCUUGCAAGAGUUCAGGAGUUAGAGAGACAAUAUCUCAAGCCCAUACUUCUCUAAUUUCAACUUCAUUCUUACAAUAAACCACAGUCACAAACAGUGAUAGACCUCCCAUGUUUUUAAUUUCAUGUGGAUUCGUUAGGUCUUCCUUCACACUGAUGAUUUCCACAUCCCAAAUAAUUGGGUUCCAUAAGACCCAAAUUGAGCCCCCUGGCCCAUUGGAUUUCAAUUCGAAAUAGAUGCCCAGUUUCUGCCAAAGAAGUCCUUAGUGAGUUUUGCUUCAAAAAAAAAGUCCUUAGUGAGUUGUUCAUUAGCUUGCUUGAUUUUAGUUUCAAGCAAGCCUAAAAUUGCAUAGUAUUUAAAACAGAUUUUCUUAAUCUCAUUCGCUGUUUCUUAACAGAUUUUAGUUUCAAGUAAGCCUAAUGUUCCUUACAUCCCUGCUGAUCAUUUUUUCUUUGGAGUUGGGUUGUCCGCCGUUUUUUCCGCUGUGAUGCUUUGGAUUCGAGAUAUAGGCGAUCUUCCUUGUCAGAGUGUGAUGAUUCUGGAUGGGUCGUACUCUUCUCAGCAGUCUGAUGUGGCAUCUUCUUCCUCCAGUAUAUGACCGGUAGAUCUAACAGCGGGGAUUCGCUGCCAGGAAGAGGCAGGGAAGUUCCUCUGUUUGGAGCAUGGUUCUAAAUGCCUCCAGGUUUAUUUUAGGGUCAAGGAACACCCCAAAUCUUUCCCAAUCCUCCCCCAAUCUGUGCUCACUUAAAGGUUUAAUUUAAGUAUUUUUUACCAGUACUAUACUAUUAAAAAUUAUAGAUAUCUUAAAUAAGUAUAUAAAUAUAUGAAAUUAGUAUAUAAGUAUAAGAAAUUUAUAUAUUUAUAAGAUAAUUAUGAUAAACUUCGUCAAGGCCAUGACCAUAUGAUAAUUAUGAUAAAGUGGUAAUUUUUUUUAAUUUAGAAUGAGAAUUUUUUUGAAAUGUCUUUAAAAAAAUGUUUUAAUCCUUUGAAUUCUUUUCAAACGAUUAAAUCAUAUUUUUUACAACAUUUCUCUAUCUUCAUUCAUAGUCACUUAGUCAGUCUCAUUGGUUAAUUUACAAUAUUUUUAGACGUAAAAUUGGAAAACUCAUUAUAAUUUUUUUUGUCAUUGCACAUAAAGGACAACUCAGAACGUGAAACUAGUAAAAAUUCAAAACAAGAAAUCUCUCCAACAGACAUCAAUGACAGGGUUAGAAUCAAAUAUGAACAAGAUACCAUGCUCUUCUUAAGUUGGUUUAUUUAAGUUUGAGCUGUAUUUUUGAAAUUUCAGGUCAUUGAUUACCAUUCCAGAGGAGAGCUUUAUUCUCUCACAGUUGUACAGUUGAAAAGCUUCCUAUCCUCCAAAAAUGCCAAAGUUGGAGGUAGAAAACAAGAUCUCAUUGAACGGAUAAGUGCAUUACUUAAGUAAAUAAAUUUAGUACAUGUUCAAUUUUAUAUAACGUUCCAAUUUUUGAAGUAGAAAUAAGCAUUGCCUGUUUGGCUGUUUUAUAUCCAUUAGUAUGUAGAUGUAAAUGAUUUACGUCAAGAUUAAAUAAAGUAAACUCGCGAAUAGAAAUUGAUAAAAUUAAGCAAAAGACGGAUCUAAUGGAUUGAAACAUUUACUCGGUUAAACCUAAAAUAUUGCAUGUUAAUCCUGGCUUAAUCGGCACUAAUAACCAGCUUGUCCAUCAGAUUGGAUACCACUGCAGUGGAAUUCUGUAGAAGCUCCACCUUUUGUUUCAACCGUUCUCUCUUCCUUGCAGUAGCUGGACUUUCAUCAAGCAUCUUCUCAAUCCCACCUUUCCCAGGACCGACGAGCUCAUUAAGAAUAAACUUCUCCAGAUUAACCUCAACAAGAUUCUUCAUGCUGUAGAACAUGCAGCGCCAGACCAUCCACCAGACGAAGAAUGAUGGUUUUCCAGUAAGCAGUCAUUCUCAUUUUCAAAUCAAACGCCUGUUCAGCUAUCACUGCAUUUUCCCUCAGAUGAAGGAUGUUUAAUUGCCCGAACAGCUGCAGAUUCAGUGUUGCUGGCUUCGAUUUGUUAAUGAUUUUUUCCUUGAACUCAUUCUGUUGGGUCAUGAGAGAUAUGUAGGUCCGCGAGUAAUCCACGUUGGAGGUAUAAUCCGUCGUCCUCUCCAUCUCCAACAUGAUCCUUACGAACUCGAGAGACUCGUCUUUCAGAGUCUGUAUAAGUUGAUCGAUAGCCUUACGUACACAUGUCUGCAAUUGUGGAAAAUUCUCACAGUGCCAAGAGAACACACGCCAAACAACAUCGUCGAUAUAAGCCCAGAUCUUAGAGACAUACAUCGAAGGAGUGUGUUCGAUCUCCUUGAUAUUUUUUCUCAUAACAGUUAGAAAAGCUGAACGAGGGAGGAAGUUGGGGAGCCGGAUUCCUUUUGAUUCUUCCAAAAUGGAGAUUUCUUCCAUGAGAAAAAGGUUUUCCGACUUCUGUAUCGGAUAAAUUGGAAGUGCCUUGGCGAAAUCAUCAAGCAUGUCAAAAAGACGUGCGGUGCAGUGCAUGGAUUGAUCGUCGGGAAAUUCUUCAAACUCACCUCUGAUCAAAAUCUUACGUAAAGACUCUUUGGCCCGUCCUAAUAGAAGCAUCAGUGAUAUCAUUGCAUCCGAUUCAGAUGUUAGAUUCUGCGGCAUCUGAUUCAACUCACAAAGGCUUACGCUCAACCUCUGAUUUAUUUUUUUCACUAUCUCAGGCAAACUGCGAGCGAUGCUAGACGCUUGAAUCUCGACAAGCUUCUGUGCUAAAACUGGAACGCCAACAAUGGAUUUGUCGAUCCUUGAGAGGAGUGGAUGGGAUCUAAACAUCUCAGCUUCAAUGCCGCGAGCGACUUCAUACGUCUCGUCGUUUAUCCUAUUUCUCACACAAACGUAACCGAGACCAAUGUUUACAUCAUCGGCAGUUACCUUUUCCAGUAAACCCUCCGGUGAUCUAUCGGACUUGGUGACCACAGCAAGAGUUCUCUCCCCGUUCUUGUCAACUUGCUGAGACAUACGUAUGGACUCGCAUGUUGGAAAAUCAACAUUGGCUGAGAGUACAUUCAAAAUGAUACUUUCGAUUGGAGAUAUGUACUCCAUGAUUAUACUAUGAAUCUGAUCGUAAAUAUCAGCAGUUGACCAUGGACGGGAACACGUGUUAUUCCAGGAAGAUCAACCAUAGUUAAAUCCGGUACAUCUUUUUUCUUGACAACAAGUGUGAGUGGUACAUUCGAUAUGCCCUUACCGUUGCCUGCAAUCUCAUCAGUGGCGGCAACGAUAGCAUGAGAGACGGAUUUCUCCGUGGUAAUGAUGGACUUAUCAUUAUAUUCUAGAACCAAUUCUGGUUCUGCUCUCUUAGAAUCAUUCUGGAGACGCAUAACCAACGGGACGCGGGUGCAAAUUCCUUGGCCUCGCGGGAGAUUUAUACCGGCGAGGGAUUCCAGCACGCUGGAUUUACCACUAGACUGAUCUCCGACGACGACAAUGGUGGGAAGAUUGAUGCCUUCUUGCAUUACAUUCAACUGGCGCAGCCGAUCGACUGCGUCAAGCAACGGACGUAUCUUGUGGUUGAAGGACGACACCAACGGAGCAUCUGUUUUCGGACUCAUUGUAGUAGCGAGAUGUAAUAGACAAGGAUUAAGCUGAAGUUGAUCCAUCCAAGGAGUUAGAGGUGGAUAUAUAUAUAGACAAUAAUUAAAUCGAAGGAAUUUCAAUCGAUGGAGUUGAAACGAAUCUAUCUAAUAAACCGUAAUUGCAUUAAUUAACGUACUGCAUGAACUGAAUUAUGAAUUAUAUUUAUUUUCAAGUUUUGUAACCGGCGGACUAUAUUCAUAAUACCAGCGCCGGCCGAAGUCCUACUACUGUUCACUGUCGUAGUAAUUAUCAGGUGUAAUCCCGUCUUGAUUCCCGUAUAAAAGCGGGUAGAGAUUGAGAGGCUUAAUGACCUAAACAUUAAUUAGACUUAAGAUGCAUGCACGCUGUUGCGACGUAAUUGGGUUGCGUUUGAUGAUGAGCGCGACAGUUGGACAGAAACGUGUCGCGAUAUUAAUUAUUUUGCACCGGCGACUAUUUAAGAAUGGGAAAAAGAAUAUUAUAUCACUUAAAUAGUUAUUUGGUCAGUUAAUUUACCUUCGUCUUUAUCUCUUUCGACACUGACUGUUGCUCUCACUGUGCUGGUAGAUCGACACAGGAAGGGACAAUAUUAAAAGCUUUUUUAAUUGGAAAGGGGGACACUGGUAGUCUGGGACAGGGAUUUCUUGACGGUUUUAGAAAACAAAAUUAAACAUUAUUUCUUAUAAAUAGAAUGGAUGGAAGAAGAUUAAAAUCAAGAAAUCAAUGAUUAAGAUUGAGUUUCUCAUUUUGAUUACUAACCUUAAUUAUGAUGAUGAAACUAACCCUAAUAAUAACACUUUUAGCGGUUUGGACCCAGUUGGUCAGGUCCUUAUACUAGCUUGGGUGCCGGUCCUGUAAGGACUAACAGGACCUGGGGUGUAUUAGUAAAUAUAUUAUAUAAAAUCAACAAUAUAAUUAAUACAUGCAGGUAGCAUAAAUAAUACAUUACUAAUUUAUAUUUAAUUCUUUUAAUUUAACGAGCCUUAACAAUUUAACAGAACACUUAAGCAAUUUAACGGGGAAAGGAAAAAAUUAAAACCCGUGGAUGAGACUGAAAUGUACCAGCUGAAAGGGGGACACGUGACAUUAGGGAAAGGGUUAGACCCCGACCUAAGAGCCAAGUUUGUGACUGUCCUGGAGGAGCACCAGGACAGGUUCGUUUGGGAGGGUGAGGCUCCGACACAGAUUGCGCGUCAAAUCGUGACGCACAAACUUAAUGUCGACCCAUCCAUCCCAGCUUGUCGCAAUCUAACGUAGUAAGUAAGUGACGUGUCAAAUUAUUCUUAUGAGAGUGGGUCCGGGUCGACCCCACGAUUAAAAUUAUUUAAGGAUUUUAUUCUUCGAUAUUAAAAUUAUUUAUGAGAGUUGGGUUUGAAACGGUCUGAUUUUAAUAUUAUUUUUAUUCAUUCAUUCUUAUAGAAUAAAAUUCUAAGUUCACUCUAAAUGUGGUCAAAAAUACUUUCAAAUAUGAGGUGUUCAUUUUAUAGAUAUAGACAGAUGCAAUUAUAACCGUUUAUUAGAAAAAUGAUCACUUCAGUUUACAAGUCAAUCAUAAUACAACUGAUACGAAUCUCAUAUUUUCCUCUCAUUUUGUAUAUUCCUUCCAUUCUUCUCCAAAACAAACACUCCUCCCCCACGUGCUGCCAUUCCGUCUCCGCUUAGUCCGGGCACACAGUCUCUGUUCACCUUACUCCCGAUGGCAAGGCUAAUUAACUCCGUAACUCCCAUAGGUGAUGACCUUUGUUUCGCUUUGGCAUUUGUGAAGCAAAUGUAUUUCGACGAGGCCCUAGCGCUUAUCAUUUCGUCUGGCGAUCGAUCCAUCCUCUCCAUUCGUCGUCUAUGCCCAGGAGCAGAAUGACGGCCUCCGAUCCGAAUACUCAUCAUUCUCCGACGAUGUAGAACCUAACAUCCCUUGGACCACAGAAGCCCUCGGAUGCGAGCAAGAGGCAGUGAAUCUGUGGAUAGGCAAUGGGAGAUCAGAGACGUCGUUCCACAAGGACCAUUACGAGAACCUCUACGCAGUUGUGAAUAGGGAGAAACAUUUUCUGCUCUUACCACCCGCCAAGCAACAUCGGCUCUACGUCCGUCACUUCCCAUCGGCCCAAUACACUAAAGGAAUAAGUCAAGGACUUAAAUACAAAUUAAGGUUUUAUUUUGAACUUACAGGAAUUCAAGAAUCAAAGUGCAAAAUUUACAAAUCAAGAUCCAAGUGCAAUUAGUUAAUUGUUAGAUCUAAGUUAGUUAAGUUUUGUUAAUUGUAAUUACUAGUUAACAUAUAUGAGAAAUAUUUCCUUUUCCCUUUCAUUCUUUUAUAUACUUCCUAUAUACAAUUUAAGGAUUUCUUCCCCAAAUCCAAAAGUCAUCGCCGGCGAACGUCGACUGCUACAGAUGGCUGCCACGGAUGGAAAUACGGGAAAUAACAUGGUAUCGGCUGGUAGGGACACUUCCGCACCUCUUUUUCCUCAAGGCUCCGCGGGCUCUGGCUCCGGUUCUGGAUCUGCCCUCAAAAUUUUCCGGUCAUCAUCGGAAUCCGGCGAACAUGACAACCAGAGCCCCCCUAUUGCGCAAAACCGCUGAAUAAAAACCACAACAUCUGGACCUCCCAAGAGGAAAAGGUCCACACAAAACUAUAGCUCUGAGAUAUAUGAUCGGACUUCACCAUAUUAUCUCACCGCCGGCAAUCACCCCGGCGCCUCAAUGGUUUCCGAUAAAAUUACUGGUGAGAAUAAUUAUGUUACCUGGUCUAAUGCUAUGAGAUUAAGUCUUGUAUCCAGGAGAAAACUACCGUUCAUCAACGGAAAGAUAACAAGGCCAGAUUCCGAUAGUGAUGAGGCCGAAGCUAUUGAGAUUAUUAAGUCUGUUUUAAUUAUUAUUAAGUUUUUAGUUUGUUAAGUUGUGUUAAGUAUGUAACUAGGGUUUAGUAUAUAUAGUCAAGUUGUAAUAUUUUAUUCUUUGAAUUUCAAAAUUUAAAUCUAAAACCCUAUUUUGGGUUUCUCCCAAUCGUCUCUUCACUUCCCUCCGCGACUCUUGAUCGCCAAACCCUAAAACGCCAACUCUGUUCACGCUCCACUCCGGUCUCUCGCGAUCUUCAUGGUAUCAGAGCCUCGUGGAGUGCUCUGCUGUUGAUCUCGCUGCAAAGCUUUUCGAAACCUUCCAGGUUCACGUCGCUCCGACUCUGUCAGGACCUCAACCAAAUUUAAGAUACCCAAGCAGACAGAGAAGACCCCCAACAAAACUGAAUGAUUAUUUCUGUUCAUUUGCCACAAGCAAUGGCAAAUCUAAAGGCACUUCAUACCCUAUGCAUGACUACUUAACAUAUAAAAGGCUAUCUACUUCCCACACUGACUACUUAGAUAAAAUCUCUAUUACAACUGAACCAUCAUCCUUCAAACAAUCAAGUCAAAGUCCUGAAUGGGUGAAAGCUAUGAAUGAUGAACUUGCAGCUCUAGAACUAAAUGAUACUUGGGAAAUAGUACCAAGACCAAAAGAAAGAAAAAUCGUUGGUUCCAGAUGGGUAUACAAAGUGAAACACAAAUCUAAUGGCCAAAUUGAAAGGCUAAAGGCCAGACUUGUAGCAAGGGGACACACUUAGAUAGAAGGGUUUGAUUACAAAGAGACAUUUUCACCUGUGGCAAAAAUUAUCUCUGUUAGGACCCUUCUAGCAGUGACCUCAAUCAAGAGCUAGACAACAUACCAAAUGGAUGUGAGCAAUGCUUUCCUACAUGGUGAAUUAUCUGAGGAAAUCUAUAUGUCCCCUCUCCCAGGGAUGCUACCAGCAGAUGACACCAGGGUUUGCAAAUUAAAAAAGUCUCUAUAUGGCUUAAAACAAGCAAAUAGGAAUUGGUAUGAAAAACUUACAUCAGCCUUGACCAAAUUUGGAUAUAAUCAAUCUCAUUCUGAUUAUACAUUAUUCUUUAAAUCAAAUGCAAAAUCAUAUACUUGUCUACUCAUAUAUGUGGAUGAUUUGAUCAUUUCAGGAGAUGAUGAAUUUGAGAUACAAAAAUUAAAAGAAUAUCUACACCUUCAAUUCCAUAUAAAAGAUUUGGGCAAGCUUAAAUACUUCUUAGGAAUUGAGGUAUCUCAAUCUAACAUGGGUAUAUUUCUAUCACAAAGAAAGUAUGAUCUUGAUAUUUUACACGAUUUUGGUCAAUUGGGCUCAUCACCAUCCAAAAUCCCAAUGUCUCAUAAUUAUAAGAAUUCUGAAAAUGAUGCUCCACUAAAGGAUCCAUCAAUUUAUAGGAAGCUGAUUGGAAAACUGUUAUACUUAACAAUUACAAGACCUGAUAUUUCAUUUGCUGUUAGUCAUCACAGCCAAUUCUUGGCAGAAUCAAAACAAUCACAUUUUAACUCUGCUAUAAAGAUACUGAAAUAUAUCAAAGGUGCACCAGGUAAAGGUAUUCUAUAUAAGAAAGAUGCACCUCUACAACUAGAGGCUUACUGUGAUGCAGAGUGGGCAGAUUGCCCUAACACCAGAAGAUCUAUAACAGGAUACACAAUCCUAUUGGGUGGCUCAGCCAUAGCAUGGAAAUCAAAGAAGCAAACAACUAUAAGCAGAUCAUCUGCUGAAAGUGAAUAUAAAGCUAUGGCAUCAACUGUAUGUGAGAUAAUGUGGUUGCAUUAUUUUUUGAAUGACCUGCAGGUGAAACCAUCAGGAGAAACAAUGUUACACUGUGACAAUAUGGCUGCAAUCCAUAUUGCAACAAACCCAGUAUUUCAUGAGCGAACUAAACACAUAGAGAUUGACUGUCAUUUAAUUCGUGAUCAUCUUCAAGCUGGAUUAUUCAAACUACAACAUGUCUCUACAACUUCACAAAUAGCAGACAUUCUAACAAAACCAGCAAGUCUUGAAUCACUACGCAAUUUACUACCCAAGCUGGGACUAUAUGAUAUACACUCUUCAGCUUGAGAGGGUAUUGAGAUUAUUAAGUCUGUUUUAAUUAUUAUUAAGUUUUUAGUUUGAUUAAGUUGUGUUAAGUAUGUUAGGCCCAACUCGGAUAUUGGCCCAUUAGAAACUAGGGUUUAGUAUAUAUAGUCAAGUUGUAAUAUUUUAUUCUUUGAAUUUCAAAAUUUAAAUUUAAAACCCUAUUUUGGGUUUCUCCCAAUCGUCUCUUCACUUCCUUCCGCGACUCUUGAUCGUCAAACCCUAAAACGCCAACUCUGCUCACGCUUCACUUCGGUCUCUCGCGAUCUUCAGAAGCUUGGGAGACCGUUAACGGACUCAUUCUGUCUUGGAUAAUCAACGGAGUAUCCCCACAAAUUGCAGGAUCAAUUAGUCAUACAGAUUCUGCUCAUGCCGUGUGGCUCGACUUAGAAGAAAGGUAUAAACAAAGGAAUGCUCCUAAGACAAAUGAAUUACGGUAUGAACUAAACACACUCUACCAAGGGAAUGAUUCAAUUGCUUGCUUUUAUGAAAAGUUUAAAUCAGUUUGGAAUCAAUUCAAUGAGUUAGAUGAUCUUGAAUUACGUGAUCAUUGCAAUCCUAAGUAUAAAAAGAAAUUGGAAAAGGAUAAAAUCCACCAAUUUUUACUAGGAUUAAAUGAGAGUUUUGCUUCCAUUAGAGGGCAUAUUUUAUCAUAUGUAGAUCUGCCUACAAUGAGCAAAGUGUUCUAUUUGGUCACCCAAGAGGAGAAACAAAAAUCGAAUUUCAGAGAUAAAACAGGUCAAGAAAACAUUGCUGGUUUUUUUGCAAGUAAAACAGGAAAAUCUCCAGCAACACAAGAAAAGAAAGGACUCUACAGUCACAGUAGAAAAAAGCUUGAUACAAGCAAAUAUUGCGAAAACUGUAAGUAUUAUGGUCAUUUAAAGAAAGAUUGUUUUCAUAUUAUUGGUUUUACAACAAAGAAAGCUAAAGAUAAAGAGAAGAAAGAUGGGGCCAAGAAAUCAAAUGAAGAUACAAAUGAUAUGGCAAAUCAAGCAUCUACUUCCUAUCAAAUUCCUUUACUAUCAGAUGAAGACAUGGCAAUACUAAAAGAAUUAUUAAGCAAAACAACAGGUAUGAAUUUUAACUUUCAUUCCAUGAUUUUUAAAAACACUUGGAUUGUUGAUACUGAAGCAUCUCAGCAUAUGACUGGAGAUAUUAAAAUGAUUGAAACAAUUUCAAAAAAUAAAAUCAAUGAAUUUGUUACCAUACCUAGUGGGGAAAUUCGCAAAAUACAAAAUAAAGGAGAAACAAAAAUCUCAGAAAAUAUCAUACUUAAAAAUAUAAUGUAUAUACCUGAUUUUAAAGUAAACCUAAUAUCAGUACAUAAAUUAGCUGUUGAUAAUAAUUUAGAUAUAAUUUUUGAUAAAAAUGGUUUUAAAUUUCAGGAAAGAAAGUCAGGGAAUGUGAUUGGUCUGGGUGAAUGCAAACAAGGAUUAUACUUCCUAAACGCAGCAAAGUCACAAGUAUAUGCAAAUCAAGCUGUGGAUUACAAGACUUGGCACAUGAAGCUAGGUCAUUUAUCCCCACAAAAAUUGCAGAUUUUAACAAAUACCAGUAAUGAUUUUAGAGAAUGUUGUAAAAACAAUAAAGUUGAUCAAUUUUCAGAUCAAACAUAUAAUACAUUUGUUUCAAAUAAUAAAUUUGUUUUUCAAAAUAAAAAUAAAUCUUGUGAAAUUACAGAAAAUAAUAAUAAAAAUAAAAUUUCAGAAAAUAAAAAUAAAAUACCUUUUCUAGAAUGUGAAAUAUGUCAAUUAGCGAAGCAAACUAAAAUAUACAAAGAGUAUAACCAAAACAAAAGAUAUCUUUGAAAUAAUUCACAUAGAUAUUUGGGGGAAAUUUCCAAUAAAAACUCAUGAUGAUCAAAAUUAUUUCCUAACUAUAGUAGACGACUAUAGUAGGACAACAUGAGUCUAUUUAAUACCAAACAAAUCAUAUGUUUAUGAAUGCAUUAAGAAAUUCAUAAUAAAAAUUAAGGAUAUUUUCUCUAAAAAUAUUAAACUAAUAAGAAAUGAUAAUGGGGGAGAAUUCACUUCAUUAAAAUUUAACAAUAUGUUAGAUGAAUUUGGAAUAAUUCAUCAAUACUCAUGCCCUUACUCCCGUAAGCAAAAUGUCAAAGUUAAAAGAAAACAUGAACAUUUAUUAGAAAUAGCAAGAGCUAUACAUUUCCAAGCCAAUAUACCUAUGAUAUAUUGGGGAGAAUGUAUUUUAACAGCUACUUACAUAAUAAAUAGAAUUCCUUCAAAAAUAUUGGAAAAUAAAACACCAUAUGAAGUCUUAAAUAAUAAAAAACCAAAUUUUAAAAUAAUUAGAACCCUAGGUUGUUUAUGUUAUGCAACCACAAAUCAUAGGGAACAUAAAUUUUUCCCAAGAACUUUCAAAGGAGUUUUUAUGGGAUAUCCACCAAACAUAAAAGGAUAUUUAGUUCUCGAUUUAGAAACUGAAAAAUUUCACAUCACAAGAGAUGUAACAUUUAGAGAAAAUAUUUUUCCUUUCAAGCAAAAUGAAAAAGAAAAAAUUGUUAAAGAUAACUAACUAUCUUGACGAAUUUUAUAAAAACAUCAUAAAUGAAAAUAAUAAAAAUCAACAUGAUUGUAAAACUAAAAUAAAAGAAUAUCCUAAAAUAGACCUAGAAAAUAAAAAGAUACCCGUUCUUCAAAAUUUAGAUACAUUAAACCUAAAUUUUGAAGAACAAGAUGCAUCAGAUGUUGAACAACAAAAUAGUCAAAAUCAACCUGAAAUUUCAACACAACCAGAAGUAAACACCAUUGAGCACGAAUAUACACCACAAUUGGAAGAAACAACAGAAAAAUCAUGUUCGAUAAACCAAGAAGAAAUAUUUGAACAAAAUAUAAUAGUUCAGCAAAACAAUCACGAUAUAAAUAAAGAAAUAAAUAUUAUAAAAAGCAGAGCAGGAAGAAUCAUAAAACAACCUAAACAUUUUCAAGAAUACGAACUUGAAAAUAAUAAUAGUUCAAAAUACCUCAUGAGCAAUCAAGUUUUCUAUCAUAGGAUAAACAAAAAACACAAAUACUUAUUAAAACAAAUAAGUAAAAACAAUGAACCAAAUACAUACAAAGAAGUUUCAGAAAAUCCAAAUUGGAUAGAAGCAAUGAGAAAAGAAAUGGAUGUAUUACAUCAAAACCAUACAUGGGUCCUAACAGAGAUUCCAAAAGACAGAAAAGCUAUAGGAUCAAAAUGGAUAUAUAAAAUCAAAUAUAAACUCAAUGAAGAUAUCGAAAGAUAUAAAGCAAGACUGGUAGCAAAAAGAUUCACACAAAAACAAGGUUUUGAUUUUUUAUGAAACCUUUGCACCAGUAGCAAAGAUAGUAACAAUCAAAACAAUAAUUGUCAUCUUUGUAAUAAAAGGAUGGAAUCUAUACCAACUAGAUGUAAAUAAUGCUUUUCUAUAUGGAGAGCUAAAUGAAGAGGUUUAUCUAAAACCUCCACGAGGUCUUCUAAAUGAAGGAGACAAAAGAGUAUGUAAGCUAAACAAAUCACUAUAUGGUUUAAAGCAAGCAUCUAGGAAAAUCACUAUAUGGUUUUGAAAAAUUAAAAAAUACAUUAAUACAAAUUGGUUUUGAACAAACAAAAUCAGAUUAUUCAUUGUUCACCAGACAACAAAAUAAAAAUAUAAUAUACAUAAUUAUAUAUGUUGAUGACAUAAUCAUUACAUGAAGUAAUGAAAUUGAAAUUGCACCAAUUUAAACUAGAAGACUUGAGUCAACUAAAUUACUUCUUAGGAAUAGAAGUAUCCAGGUCACCUAAAGGAAUUUUUUGUCACAAAGAAAAUAUGCUUUAGGUAUACUUGAAGAAAGUGGGCUGGCUAUCUGGAGCAAAACCUUCCAAAAUACCCAUGGAAAGACACAUAGACCUAAGAAAUGAUAAAUCCAAAUAAAUAAAUGAUCCCACAUUUUACAAAAAAAUGGUGGGAAAAUUAAUAUAUUUAAACAUAACUAGGCCUGAUUUAAGUUUUCCAAUUCACUGGUUAAGCCAAUUUAUGAGUGAACCAAAAGACAUACAUCUUCAAGCCUUAUUUAAAGUCAUUAGAUAUAUCAAAAAUGCCCUAGGACAAGGUUUAUUAUAUAAAACAAACAAUAAAUUAGAUUUACAUGGAUACUGUGACUCAGACUGAGCAUCAUGUCAAAUAACAAGAAAAUCCACAUCUGGAUUAUGUAUUAUGUUAGGAAGCUCUUUGAUUUUAUGAAAAUCAAAGAAGCAAAACACACUAUCUAGAUCUUCAUGUGAAGCAGAAUAUAGGGUGAUUGCUCAAAUAACAUGUGAAAUCACAUGGAUUCAUCAACUUCUCAAUGAACUUAAAAUAAAGAUAUUAAAACCAACAUCAUUGUAUUGCGACAAUAAAUCAGCAAUACAUCUUGCCAAUAACCCAGUUUUUUAUGAAAGAACUAAGCACAUAAAAAUAGACAGUCAUUUCAUCAGAGAAAUGAUUAGUAAAGGCAAGAUAAUUUUAAAACAAAUUGGAACCAAGUUCCAAAUUGCAAAUAUGCUUACCAAAGCACUUGGAGAAGAAAGUAUAUCUUCAGUAUCCUCCAAACUUGGAAUAUAAAAUAUAUAUUCUCAAGCUUGAGGGGAGAGUAAAGGAAUAAGUCAAUGACUUAAAUACAAAUUAAGGUUUUAUUUUAAACUUACAGGAAUUCAGGGAUUAAAGUGCAAAAUUUACAAAUCGAAUUCGCAUUCGAAUUCGAAUUUUUCCGCAUUCGAAUUUUCGGAUUCCGGAUUCGGAUACCAUAUUGAAAUCCGGAUUUUAUUCGGUCGGAUUCGAAUAUCCGAAAAAUCCUCCGUUAAAAGUCGAAUUCGUUUAUCCGGAUAAAUAUAUAAUAAAUCAAUAUUAUUAUAUUUAUAUACUAUAUAUUUAUAUUAUAAAUCAUUAAACACUUAUCUUAAACCUAAUUACCGAAAUUAUAAUUAUAAAUCUUUAUAACUUAUUAACUUAUAAUUAUUAAAUCAUAACCCUAACCCUAAAGUUAUCUGGAUUCGGAUUAUCCGAAAAUCCGGAUAAUUUAUCCGGAUUCGGAUUUUCAAAUCCGGAUUUUAUUCGGUCGGAUUCGGAUAUCCAGAUAAUUAUUCAAUUUAGAUACCUACAUAUUCGAUCCGAAUCCGACCGAUAUACAAACUUAGGUAGAGGUGAGAUUACGUGUGACAUAUGAGGUAAGGUACAAAUUACAGGUAAGGUACACAUUAGUUGAGAGAGUAGAUGUAGGUAGGGUGAAAAGUCAUAGGUAGGUCUAAAAUGAAUAUUUGUUUCAUGGAGAUAUGUGAAAAUAAAACAAUAAAAAACUUUUAAAAAGGACGGUUGGGAUGAAAAGGUACGGCAUACAACGGCUUAGCAAGGGUGAGCGUUUUUGAACUUACCCUAUUCCGAGCUUAUUGGGAAAAAACUGAAUAUUUAUAAUAUCAGGUACAUAUUUUGAAUGCGUCACCGUAUCUCAUCAAAUCAUGAUCAUUAGUAUUUAAUUCAAUGGUUAAAAUAAUGUACACUAACAUAUGUACGACGUAAAAUAAUAUAUUGCACAAGACACAAACACAUUUACGACGCAAAAUAAUAUACUGCAAGACACUAACACAUGUACGAUACAAAGUUAAUCUAAUGAACGUGUUCACUUAAUACUAGCGUUGCAAAAAAAUUUUGGUAUCCACGUAUUAUAUUCGUUUCAGUUUCGAUUCGGUUAUUAAACAAACCGAACCCGAACCUUGAAAUAAAGUCUUUUAAUUAAACGAACCGAACCGGUUGAAGUUCGACGAACUGUUCGAUUCGUUUAACAUUUUUAUUAUAUUUUAUUAUUUUAGAUUUAUAUUAUAUAACUUUUUAUUAUAAAUUUAUAUUAUAUAUUUUUUAACUUAUGUAUAUUUUUAUAAUUUUUUAUUAACAUAAUUUAUUUUAGAUCAUAUAUACUUGAAAAUCAAUAAGAUGAUGUAAGUUUAUGUUUCUAUUAUUUUAUAUUUUUUUUGUUAUAAUAAUUCUUUUUUGUUCAAAGUUUUAAUUAACUUUAUGUUUUUCAAGAUGAUGACAUGCUGGAUUUUAAUCAACAAAAAAAAAAAUAAUUAAAUAUUGGCUUAAUAAAAGAAAAUAUAUUAUAAAAAUGUUUUUUUUAUUGUUUAUUUUUCAAAGGUGGACAUGCUUAUUUUUUUUAAUGUUUAUUUUUAGGACGAUGAAAAAAAGUUCGAUAUUCGACAACUAUUUGAUUCGGGUUCGGUUAGAUUUGAUUCGGUUAUUAAAUGAAUCGAAUCCAAAUCAAAAAGUAGGUUAUAUAGCAACCCAACUGACUAUGAUUUAUUAAUAGUUAUCUUAUCUAUGUAUUAAUUAAUAUUAUUAACCUAUUAUUAUUUUUUAAAUUUUCUAUUUUUCCUAAACCCCGUAUCCCUUAAGCUCCUUAUAGUGUCUAGGUCAGGUUCGGACCCAACAUUUUGUUUGCUGAACCUUAUAGUCUACUGGGUCUGGGUCCACCAUAGAUCCGAGCCGGGGUUAGUCAAUGGUUAAAACGUGAUUAGAAUCUAACUACACAAGAAACACGACAACUAAUUAAAUAGUGGUAAAUCCAUCAUAAUUAUUCAUACAUAAUUAUAUAGCAUAGAAAAGACAAAAUCUUUCAUUCGUCAUAUCGAGAUAAAAUGAGUGGAGUGCCAUGUUGUGGAUGCAAAGUCAAGAAAAAAAACGGCGCAUGGAGGUAAGAUGGCGAAAGUUCAAACUUGAAACGUUGCAGAAUCAUAGCCAACCCCAGUUUUGCUUCUGUCAUCGCAAAGCUCUGACCAAUACAAGUUCGAGAUCCAGCUCCGAAAGGAAAGAAGAUCAUCUUGUUCUUGGUUGCUUUAGAUAUGCCUUGGGAGAACCUCUCUGGUUUGAACUCUUUCACAUCGUCACCCCAGAGGGACGGAUCGUGGUGCAUGGUGAGUAUGGGCAACCGGAAUUCCAUUCCACUUGGAAAACUGUACCCACCUAUAUUCAUGGCGUGGUGAGCCAUUCGUGCCAGGAAUAAGACCGGAGGAUAUAAUCUGAGGACCUCGUAUAGGAUCAUUGUUACCUGAAUCAAUACAACAACACAAACAAUUCAAAAUCGACAAUCAGGUAAUGGAAAUAUAACAAGGUUGACUGAUUUCUUACGAUCUUCAACUGAUUCAUGUCGCUAAAAACAGGCUGUUUUCUUCCACAUACUUGUAAAACUUCUUGUCGAGCAAGAUGUUGCCAAUUUGGAUACAUACUCAAAACAACUAGCGUCCAGUUGAGUAAAACUGAAGUGGUCUCUUGUCCGGCAAAGUAGAACAACUUGCAUUCCCCUAUCAUUUCAUCUGUGGUGAUCCCUGUUGUUUCUUGAUUUGAAUUUGAAUCCAUUAAGAAACCCAACAAAUCAUCAUGACUAGCAGAGGAAGAAGUUGAAGCUGGGUUUGUUGCAAUCGACUGUUCUCGCUUCUUAAUGAUACCUCUCAACAAAUCACAAACCUCACUAUCGAUUUCCUUCCUUCUUCUGUUAUUUCUUGUUGGAACAAACCUGCAAACAAUCACUCACAAAAAAGAAUGAGAAUGAAUGAGAAUAAAUGAGACGAGAACAGUCUAUUCAUACCCAAACCGAUACUCACUUCAACCCAGGAAUGUAGAUGGAUCGAACGGCUUGAAUUAAAAGUUCGACUUGUUCGGUUUGGAGUUGGAAUAUCCUUCUUCCCUCCAGGUAACUACUACCGAAAGCUGAUCGGGAAAUGAUAUCUCCGGUCAGAUUUUCGAGUUCAGGCCAGACGUCUAGUUCCACUGAUUCUCCGCUGCCGAGAAGUUUUUCCCACCUAUCAAUCAAUUCGCUGCAACAACAAGAAAAUGCCCCAUACAUCUUCUGUUGUUCAAAAAAUUAGAAAUCAAUUGAAAAGAAGUAAAAAUAAAUAUCCUAAAUAAAUAAUCCAAUCGGAUGAAAGAUAACCUUCAAUUUGUCGACAUGAAAAACGGGAUUUAUAAUCUUUCUACGAUCGACCCACUUCUGACCUUGUAAAUUAACCAGACCGUUGAGAAGAUACCCUCCCAACGGAUGUAUCGGUGUCUUAUCGAUAUGUCCAGAUUUGUCGCACAUAAUUUCUCUUACAAGCUUUGGAUCCGUGACAAUAACUAUCGGAGAAGUACCCAACCACAAAUAACACAGCUUGCCACCGCAAUCUUCAACAACUUGACUGAAGAAGGGACUGGCUCUUCUUAAGAUGUCGUUUGAGAAAGGAGCUAUUGGUCUGGAUACAGCUUCUUUGGUUUGUUUGACCAGUUUCCGUAGAUCGCCGAAGAGAAUCGUGUACGGCGUUCCUUUGAUUCCUUGAGAUUGGAGAAGCUUCUCAAGCUUCUUGGGCUUCCACCAUAACCACUCUACUGUUCUUAGAAUAACUGUGCCGACACAUCCCACCAACAACAACAAACCCACAAACUCAGCAGACCAAAACUUCAUAAUCCUCCACACUCGAUCAGAGACUCAGAGUGAUAUGGAUGACUUUCCCGAGCUGAGUGAUACGUAUGAUCAUCACAUAUUUCUGCGGUGGCUAAAUAUCUAACGUUUGCUUCCAAAAAAAAUAAAUAAUAAUGAUAAAAUAAAAUAAAAAUCUAACGUAGUAACGUGUCAAAUUAUUCUUAUGAGAAUGGGUCCGGGUCGACCCACGAUUAAAAUUAUUUAAGGUUAUGGGUUUUAUUCUUCGAUAUUAAGGAUACAAUUUUCCGAGAUCGGGUUAGUCAGUCAUUUUUGAAGUUGGGUUUGAAUCGGUAUGAUUUUAAUAAACUGUUAAUACUUUGAAUAUGUGGUCGUAUGUUAUCGUGAUCAUUAAUAUUUAAUUUAAUAGUUAAAAUAAUAUACGAUGUAAAAUAAUACACUACACAAGAAACUAACACAUAAAUUGACAUGUUCACUUUGACACAUAUUAAAUUCGUUUUGUAAUUAAUAUAAAUCAUCAGAAUACUAUUGUAUUAAUAUAAAUCAUUAAAUAUUUGUAUUAGAGAUAUACCCUUGUAUUCCAGUAAAAAUUAUAAAUAUAAUUUUAUUGUAAAUAUUAAUCUCAUAUCCCUGAGAUUCAUAGAUAUUAGAAAUAUAACAUUAUGGUAAAUAUACAUUAUAUCGUGAAUAUUAAUCUUAACCCUAUAUUUAAUUUUAACUCCUCACAUUCCUUUUUAAGAAUUCUCAUUUAUAUUAAUUCCACAUCCAACAUAUUUAAUUCCAUAUUUGUAAUCAAUACUAAACACCAAUAUAAUCGUUGGGUGUUUACUAUUUAAACUAACCUUAACCUUUAUCAUAGAUCACGUUCUUACACUCUAUAAUCACUCAACACAAAAAGCGCUGAUCAUCUUCAACACAAUUGUUUGCCCACAUCACAACACAAUUGGAUCUUUAUCAAAUCUGCAAUCAUGCAUUGGAUCUUCAGCAAUUUUAAUUUAUACGGUUGAACUUGAAAAUUGCAGUACCUGAAAUAUAUGAAGCUCAGUAUCUCUUCGCUAUUUCGUUGUGCUCUGCCAUAGCUAACCAUGAAUUGUACAUUCUGACAGGCUUUUUACAAUAUACUCCUUGGUUGAAUAGCUACCGAUUGUGCGAGGUGGUUACUGUAUCCGUGUAAGAGAUUGGUAAAUAUAGAAGGCCAAGUCAAAUUCCAGUGACCAUUGGCCAAAGCCCGGUCAAUUCUACUAGCCCAGUAGUUCUGCCCAAUCCCACCAUUGCACCAAGUAUAAUAGUCCCCAACAUAGUCCAGCUUAGUCAGACCUGCUUGUGUGAUUGCACUGGCAAAGUAUGAAAGCAUUGAUCUGUUUCCUUGAGAUCAUAUAUCUACAUAUGUUGCUAGGAGGAUUUUGUUGAAGUCACCGAGCAAAAUCCAAUUUUCUUGCAAGAGUUCAGGAGUUAGAUAGACAAUAUCUCAAGCCCAUACUUCUUCUCUAAUUUCAACUUCAUUCUUACAAUAAACCACAGUCACAAACAGUGAUAGACCUCCCGUGUGUUUUAAUUUCAUGUGGAUUCGUUAGGUCUUCCUUCACACUGAUGAUUUCUGCAUCCCAAAUAAUUGGGUUCCAUAAGACCCAAAUUGAGCCCCCCUACCCAUUGGGUUUCAAUUCGAAAUAGAUGCCCAGUUUCUGCCAAAGAAGUCCUUAGUGAGUUGUUCAUUAACUUGCUUGAUUUUAGUUUCAAGCAAGCCUAAAAUUGCAACGUUGUAUUUAAAACAGUUUUUCUUAAUCUCAUUCUUCCUACUGUUCCUUACAUCCCUGCUGAUCAUUUUUUCUUUGGAGUUAGGUUGUCCGUCGUUUUUUCCACUGUGAUGCUUUGGAUUCGAGAUAUAGGCGAUCUUCCUUGUAGAGUGUGAUGAUUCUGGAUGGGCCGUACUCUUCUCAGCAGUCUGAUGUGGCAUCUUCUUCCUCCAGUAUCUGGCCAGUAGACCAAACAGCAGGGAUUCACUGUCAGGAAGAGGCAGGGAGACUCCUCUGUUUGGAGCUUGGUUCUAAACGCCUCCAGGUUUAUUUUAGGGUCAAGGAACAAUUGGCAAAGAUUAGCUAAUUGAUUAAAGGUCUUAAACAGACCUUAGUUAUCCAAACAGAGUCUGUAAAUGUAUUAACAUUAAAUUGAAUAAAGGAUGUGGAUUAAAUAAAUAAUUCCUACAGAACCUUUAAUCAAUUUAGUGUCAAGUUUCUAUGUGCAGGUAAAUUUCCCAGACUUAUAGAAACUUGAAAGUGUUGUAAAGAUAAUUGUUUAAAUAAAAGAAACGGGCCAAUAACUAAA